rnacentral:tRNA from 1 species
GUCGCUCGGUGGAUAGAGCAGCCCCGCAUACGCUGAGGUGUUGCGGGGUUGGUCGCAGGUUCGAUUCCUGCCGGGGGUACCA